rnacentral:rRNA from 1 species
GAUGAACGCUGACAGAAUGCUUAACACAUGCAAGUCAACUUGAAUUUGGGUUUUUAACUUAGAUUUGGGUGGCGGACGGGUGAGUAACGCGUAAAGAACUUGCCUCACAGCUAGGGACAACAUUUAGAAAUGAAUGCUAAUACCUGAUAUUAUGAUUUUAAGGCAUCUUAGAAUUAUGAAAGCUAUAAGCACUGUGAGAGAGCUUUGCGUCCCAUUAGCUAGUUGGAGAGGUAACAGCUCACCAAGGCGAUGAUGGGUAGCCGGCCUGAGAGGGUGAACGGCCACAAGGGGACUGAGACACGGCCCUUACUCCUACGGGAGGCAGCAGUGGGGAAUAUUGGACAAUGGACCGAGAGUCUGAUCCAGCAAUUCUGUGUGCACGAUGAAGUUUUUCGGAAUGUAAAGUGCUUUCAGUUGGGAAGAAAGAAAUGACGGUACCAACAGAAGAAGUGACGGCUAAAUACGUGCCAGCAGCCGCGGUAAUACGUAUGUCACGAGCGUUAUCCGGAUUUAUUGGGCGUAAAGCGCGUCUAGGUGGUUAUGUAAGUCUGAUGUGAAAAUGCAGGGCUCAACUUUGUAUUGCGUUGGAAACUGUAUAACUAGAGUACUGGAGAGGUAAGCGGAACUACAAGUGUAGAGGUGAAACUCGUAGAUAUUUGUAGGAAUGCCGAUGGGGAAGCCAGCUUACUGGACAGAUACUGACGCUAAAGCGCGAAAGCGUGGGUAGCAAACAGG